AGUGAACGCUGGCGGUAGGCCUAGCACAUGCAAGUCGAACGGCAGCACAGUAAGAGCUUGCUCUUACGGGUGGCGAGUGGCGGACGGGUGAGGAAUACAUCGGAAUCUACUUUUUCGUGGGGGAUAACGUAGGGAAACUUACGCUAAUACCGCAUACGACCUACGGGUGAAAGCAGGGGAUCUUCGGACCUUGCGCGAUUGAAUGAGCCGAUGUCGGAUUAGCUAGUUGGCGGGGUAAAGGCCCACCAAGGCGACGAUCCGUAGCUGGUCUGAGAGGAUGAUCAGCCACACUGGAACUGAGACACGGUCCAGACUCCUACGGGAGGCAGCAGUGGGGAAUAUUGGACAAUGGGCGCAAGCCUGAUCCAGCCAUACCGCGUGGGUGAAGAAGGCCUGCGGGUUGUAAAGCCCUUUUGUUGGGAAAGAAAAGCAGCAGGUUAAUACCCCGCUGUUCUGACGGUACCCAAAGAAUAAGCACCGGCUAACUUCGU
rnacentral:rRNA from 1 species